rnacentral:misc_RNA from 2 species
CCCAACUAUCCCUAUUAAUCAUUACGUCAAUCCUAGAAACCAACAAAAUAGGAUCGCUACGUCCUAUUUUAUUAUUCCAUGCUAAUGUAUUCAAGCGUUAGCCUGCUUUAAACACUCUAAUUUUUUCAAAGUAACAAGUCCUGAUUCCCUGCAGCACCAAAUAAAUGGCAUUACAGUUCUUCAAGAAGGAGGAAUCAGUAAAGCCGGUACAUACCAGUGGUACGACCAACCUACUAACCCCGAAAUUCAACUACGAGCUUUUUAACUGCAACAACUUUAAUAUACGCUAUUGGAGCUGGAAUUACCGCGGCUGCUGGCACCAGACUUGCCCUCCAA